rnacentral:rRNA from 1 species
GUGGGGAAUUUUGGACAAUGGGCGCAAGCCUGAUCCAGCCAUUCCGCGUGCAGGAUGAAGGCCUUCGGGUUGUAAACUGCUUUUGUACGGAACGAAAAGCCUCUGGUUAAUACCCGGGGGUCAUGACGGUACCGUAAGAAUAAGCACCGGCUAACUACGUGCCAGCAGCCGCGGUAAUACGUAGGGUGCGAGCGUUAAUCGGAAUUACUGGGCGUAAAGCGUGCGCAGGCGGUGAUGUAAGACAGUUGUGAAAUCCCCGGGCUCAACCUGGGAAUUGCAUCUGUGACUGCAUUGCUGGAGUGCGGCAGAGGGGGAUGGAAUUCCGCGUGUAGCAGUGAAAUGCGUAGAUAUGCGGAGGAACACCGAUGGCGAAGGCAAUCCCCUGGGCCUGCACUGACGCUCAUGCACGAAAGCGUGGGGAGCAAACAGGAUUAGAAACCCCUGUAGUCC